GGGUGCGAUCAUACCAGCACUAAUGCACCGGAUCCCAUCAGAACUCCGCAGUUAAGCGUGCUUGGGCGAGAGGGUAGUACUAGGAUGGGUGCCCUCCUGGGAAGUCGUCGAGUUGCACCCC